rnacentral:misc_RNA from 1 species
AUCCAUUUUCCCCUUUCCCUUCACUGAGCCACCGUCACUCUGUUCUAAAAAACAGAGCUUACGUCAAUGGCGAGUUCUUCUUCACUGACGUCUGCUCUGAUAAAUUCUUCCCCAUUUUGCGCUAAAUCCUUCUCCAAAUUUCAAUUUUUAUCCUUCCUCUCUUUUGCUCAUACCCUGAAGUCUUUCCCCGCUGCAAGCUCGAAAGCUCUUCUUCUCCAAGAGAGGCAAGGUUGCUUGACCGUCAAGGCCCAAACACUAGACUUCUCUGGUUCGUUUUAUGAAGGUGGUGGGUUCGGGUCGGACGAAGACCCGCCAUCGCUAGCUGGGUCAGGGAUGACUGCUGUCGAGGACAAGGAGCCGCCCCCAUGCCCUCCUGGGCUUCGACAAUACGAGACCAUGGCGGUUUUGAGGCCGGAUAUGUCUGAAGAUGAACGACUUGCUCUUACUCAGAAGUACGAGGAGUUGCUUGUUGCUGGGGGUGGCAUGUAUGUGGAGGUAUUCAACAGAGGUGUCAUUCCACUAGCCUACAGCAUCAAGAAGAAAAACAAAGCUGGAGA